CUUCCGUAGGGUGAACCUGCGGAAGGAUCAUUAACCGUUACAAACAGUGUGUGCUGCGGCCCCCGAGGUGAGGCAACGAGCCUUCGGGAGGUCUGGGGUCCGCCCCUUCACGCGCACGCGUCUGCCAUCCUUACUUUACGAGCACCUUCUGUUCUCCCUCGGCAUGCGUCCUGCGCUGCCGUUGGAAUUACAAAACUCUUUUUUGCAUCUAGCAUUACCUGUUCCGACAAUAACAAUCGUUACAACUUUCAACAAUGGAUCUCUUGGCUCUGGCAUCGAUGAAGAACGCAGCGAAAUGCGAUAAGUAGUGUGAAUUGCAGAAUUCAGUGAAUCAUCGAAUCUUUGAACGCACAUUGCGCCCCUCGGUAUUCCGUGGGGCAUGCCUGUUCGAGCGUCAUCUACACCCUCAAGCUCUGCUUGGUGUUGGGCGUCUGUCCCGCCUCGGCGCGCGGACUCGCCCCAAAUGCAUUGGCAGCGGUCUUUGCCUCCUCUCGCGCAGCACAUUGCGCUUCUCGAGGUGUCGCGGACACGCGUCCAGUAAGCAACAUUUACCGUCUUUGACCUCGGAUCAGGUAGGGAUACCCGCUGAACUUAAGCAUAUCAAUAAGU
rnacentral:rRNA from 1 species